GGAGGAUCAAAAUUCUUCUGUGGAUCACGAUUCUGACUGUUUUGUGAAUGUGUUGAAUAAAUACAAUUUGCCAGAACUAUCAAAAGAGUAUUUUUCAGUUAAGCAAUCAUAUCAUUAAAACUACUAACUUCUUGAAAUCUGUUCCAUUUGAUAUAAAAUUAUGUUG